UACGUAGGGUGCGAGCGUUAAUCGGAAUUACUGGGCGUAAAGCGUGCGCAGGCGGUUCGUUAAGUUCGAUGUGAAAGCCCCGGGCUCAACCUGGGAAUUGCAUUGGAAACUGGCGGGCUUGAGUGUGGCAGAGGGGGGUGGAAUUCCACGUGUAGCAGAGAAAUGCGUAGAGAUGUGGAGGAACACCGAUGGCGAAGGCAGCCCCCUGGGCUAACACUGACGCUCAGGCACGAAAGCGUGGGGAGCAAACAGG
rnacentral:rRNA from 1 species